GACGAACGCUGGCGGCGUGCUUAACACAUGCAAGUCGAACGGAAAGGCCCUGCUUUUGUGGGGUGCUCGAGUGGCGAACGGGUGAGUAACACGUGAGUAACCUGCCCUUGACUUUGGGAUAACUUCAGGAAACUGGGGCUAAUACCGGAUAGGAGCUCCUGCUGCAUGGUGGGGGUUGGAAAGUUUCGGCGGUUGGGGAUGGACUCGCGGCUUAUCAGCUUGUUGGUGGGGUAGUGGCUUACCAAGGCUUUGACGGGUAGCCGGCCUGAGAGGGUGACCGGCCAAAUUGGGAUGGAGAUACGGCCCAGACUCCUAGGGGGGGAAGCAGGGGGGAAUAUUGAAAAAGGGGGGGAAGCCGGAUGCAGAAACGCCGGGGGGGGGAUGACGGCCUUGGGGUUGAAAACCGCUUUCGCCGGUGAGGAAGGGGGGGGGAGGGUAAGGGGAAAAAAAGCACCGGAUAACUACGG
rnacentral:rRNA from 1 species